AGGGCCGACCAGCCAGGGCCCCCAGGCCUGCCGGGAAGACGUGCUGACCCUCGCUGCCCAGUGUGAGGGUGGCCGCUGGAGUGGGUCCGCACGCACACCGCAGCGGCCGCUUACCCGCGAAUGUUGCCGGAGCCCGUGACGCCCCAUUGGUUUGUCUCUGCCUCUCCCGCCCCGGGACCAGCGUCAGGAUCCUGGAGUGCUGUGAUGGAUGGCACCCGCCGGUGCUCCCGCCGAGGCCAGAGUCCGCUCUGCGUGUGCAGGCCGCCCCGGGGCCUCACGCGGUGCCGCAGGUGAUCACGGGGGCACUGCCAGGCAAGAGGGCUGGGGCCCGGGCUCUGCCUCUCGAGCACUGUGUGGCCCCGGACAAACGUCCUGGCCUCUCUGGGCGCCUGUGUGUGACUACUCUCCUGACUCCCUGCUUGGGCUGAGGGUCCGUACAAAAAUGGGGCACCGUGCGUGAGCCUCGCCAUCGAUGCAAGCUCCCCUCGGGCCGGCCGUUCGAUCCAGAACCUUCCGUGCCUGUGCUCACCUCACCCCCAGGCAACUCCGCAAGGCUGUCCACGUGCCCCAGCACAAGCCACCCCACGGUGGACUCGGGCCCGGACUCCGCGUGUCUCUGAGACUCGCUUCCUCUCGGUGUCAGGUGGCGUGGCGGGGCGUGGCCGGGCCCAUAACCCCAAGUGCCGGGUUCGAUGUCAUCACCCCCAGGCAGGGCCACGGAAGGGGAGGCACGGAAGGACCACGUGGUCAGCUCCACCCCAGCGGACGCAGCCUGUCUUCCUGCCCAGGAGCUGGGGCGGCCCCUGCCCACCAGGGCCCCCAGUCACGAGGACCCGGCUGCUUCCAGGCACGAGGCGAGUCCCCCGUGAGUGCUGGUCCCUCUCCCUUGCCGGCUCUGUCCUCGGCCCAGUCCCGCUCUCCCUCUCCCCGCUGCCCCUGCCCUGUGAGAGGCUCUGAUCCCGCGGGAUUCCUGGCACGUCCCAGGGACUCCAGGCCAUGCUUCUCGGGGACGGAGGGAGGGGCCGCCAGCCCUCUGGGGACAGGGCCGUUUUGGCACCUGCUAAUUGGGAGGCCUGGGUUUGAACCCACAUUUUCCGCAGGCUGAAGGAGCCUCCCCACUGAUUCUGGAAGAGGCCAGAUUCCUCCUUCCACAUUUCCAGCCCUGCCCCCCGCCUUCCCUGGAGCCCUUAUUCUGCAACAGGACCGAACCACCCGUUAUUUAAUAAAAUUGUCAGAACAACUGA